AUAUAAUCUGACUAGGAACGCCACACGAUUCCAAAGCUAGCCAAAGCCUAACUCAGUCCCCACCCCACCAAAAUCCCUUCCUUCAUGUUGAAGAUUUCUCCCCAAGCAAAAACUUAGCAAUAUUAAUUAACCCAUCACGGUCAUAAACCUACCUAAAUCCUCUGUUUAGGUCCCCCAAACCAGCCAUGCAGGCAUAUCAGCAAGUAACCAGUGCCCACAAUUAAUAAAUAUGCUAGCUAACUGCCCGACUUUAGAACAUACAAAACCUCGGUGCUAAAAUUAUAGAUAUCCGUAGCUCAAUUAGUUAAUAAUUGUUAUUCAUGCACUCGAGGUUAUCGAGGUUAUGUGUUGGAGUUUUUCUUUAUAAGACAGUAUAAAUAUACAAACAUAUUGCCGCCACUCAGCACAAUACAGGUGUAUCCGUCUGAGCCAAAACUAGCAUGUACUUGUGUCCAACUGGCAGAAUCAAAGGGACGUGGCAAAACAGAGGCAGCAUCUAACCCUGCUUUCAGUUUCAGGUUUGAGGCAGAGGAGAAUUCGGAAAGAAGAAGACAGUAAGAAAUUAUUAUGUGUCAGCCUCACCCAGGUGUGCCUAGUUUGGUUAGGCUGAGAGACUUGACGCUGCUGCAUCACCAUGGCAGAUGGCUUCUUCUGCAGGGUCCUGCGGCGGUUCAGAUUCAGACUUCAGUGGGUUUGCAUGCUGCUGCUGCUGCAGACAUGAGGGUUGAAGAGGAGGCUGCUAGUGGUGGUGGUAGAAGAGGUGGCAGCGGUGGCCCGACAAGGCAGUGCCUGUGCUCGCCGACCCGGCAUCCGGGCUCGUUUCGGUGCAGGCAACACCAUGCUGGGUAUGUCUGGGGUACUGGUCGGAUUGUGAGAAAAAACAGCUCCACUAAUUAAUUACUUCCAAAUUAUAAGACUGCAAAGCGUGUACAAAUUAAGAAGAGAAGGAUGAUUUGCAUAAAUAUAUAUGGGUGUUUAUGAAUUAAUCACGCAUAUAAUCAACAUCACGUCCUUUCUAUAUGCUGUAAUUUCUUCUUCAAAACCAAGUUUGUUAAAUUUUUUAUAAAUAAAAAAAAAAAAAAAUUCGGGUGGAAA